GACGAACGCUGGCGGCGUGCCUAAUACAUGCAAGUUGAGCGCUGAAGGUUGGUACUUGUACCAACUGGAUGAGCAGCGAACGGGUGAGUAACGCGUGGGGAAUCUGCCUUUGAGCGGGGGGCAACAUUUGGAAACGAAUGCUAAUACCGCAUAAAAACUUUAAACACAAGUUUUAAGUUUGAAAGAUGCAAUUGCAUCACUCAAAGAUGAUCCCGCGUUGUAUUAGCUAGUUGGUGAGGUAAAGGCUCACCAAGGCGAUGAUACAUAGCCGACCUGAGAGGGUGAUGGGCCAAAUUGGGAAUGGGAAACGGCCCAAACCCCUAGGGGAGGAAGCAGGAGGGAAUCUUCGGCAAUGGAAGAAAGUCUGACCGAGAAACGCCGGGGGAGUGAAGAAGGUUUUCGGAUCUAAAAACUCUGUUGGUAGGGAAGAACGGUGGUGAGAGGGGAAAGCUCAUCAAGGGACGGUAACUACCCAAAAAGGGACGGCUAAAUACGU
rnacentral:rRNA from 1 species